rnacentral:lncRNA from 1 species
GCACAGUGACUAGAGGCCCCGAUUAGGCAGCAGCAGCCACCGCAGUUUGGAGACAGUCUCAGCUACUGCUGCUUUUUGGUGAAGUCCAAUUUCUUCAGUACACUUAGCAGCCUUUAUAGACCAGGGCCCAGGAGCCCCUCAGGAGGCCCCCUGAGUCACAGCAGCAAUCGACCCGUCUCUUUGAGCCUUGCUGAGAGGGGCCCAUGCAAACAGGAAUGGAUGACCCUACUGUGAUGUCCGUAUUGGAGUUUUACACACAGGUCAGCCUCGGGGACUGCAGGAGGGAGACUGCCAUUCAUGUGUCCAAGAAAGAGAGGAAAAAAACCAUCUAUUCAUAGUCAGACAUAGCUGCUCUGUGGAAGUGCCACUCCUGACGCAAUGAGCAGACCCGCUGUGUGAGGGAUUCCGGAAGAGUGUGACCUCGGAGCAUCCACGUGGAAGGCUCAAAGACUUGGGUGGUCACCAAGCUUUUAAAAUAUGCCUGGACAUCCAACCAUGCAAUUCCAGAGGGAGCAUAGUUCUGACCGAAAACCCAAGCCCGUCUUCCCAAACAAAAUUCUUCCAACAUUUUUUGGCUUAAACAAAUAGCCAGCCAAUUUGGUUUCUCUUGACUCUCUUGAGUAAGGAAAAGUCAUGCUAAGAAGAAACUGCCACUAAAUCACAUGUUCACCCCUCCCCAUGCCUUGCACAGCCCGUGUGUGUGGAUGAACCAACUCACCCCACUGCUGUCUUUACACGAAACUGGGAUUCAGAGAGAUAUAGCUUCACCUCUGUAGAGAGAGCAGGGAGAGAGCAAAGGAAAAGUCUAAAAUCCAGGGUGGCUCAGGGGGUCAGAAGGCCUGCUGUGCUAACCUGAGAAUCUGGGUUCUAAUCCCCAGUAUUUGCAUAAAAAAGAUGGGAGUGGCCAUACAUGCCUAUAACCCCAGUGCUGUGGGACUCAGAGACCGGAGGAUUAUGGGUGCUUACUGGCCACCUGCCUAGGUCCAAGUUCAGUGAAAGACCAUUUCAAAGAAAUAAGGCAGAAAGUGACAGAGUACACUUGGUGUCCUCCUCUGACUGCCACACCACACACACACACACACACACACACACACACACACACACACAAGUGGAUCCAGCAGAAUCUCCUGCCUGUGAAAUUAAGAGGUGCCCUCAUCAGAAAUGGACAUGCAAGGAAAGUGCUGGGUGCACAGGUGGCCUUGGGCUCUGGGUGCACACGAGCUCCAUUCAUGGGCAUCUGGAAACCUCUAGAAAUGGGCACCGGGGUAGGAUGUAAUCUGAACAGUCACUCAGGCAGGCCCAAGGGCAGCUGGAAUAACUAUCCAGUGGUCACCUUCCUAGGUGUCCUGUACCUCAGGCGCUGAAAUCUGCAGAGGGAAUUUUGUGGUGAGCACUCGGGAAAUUCCCCUGGCUCUGCUCUUGGUUUUAUCAACAUGGAAUAAUCAUUAAGAAAGACUACCUGCAUUUCCUACUCCUCUCAGGGGCCAAGAUGACCCUCCAUCCACUUACACAGGACCUCAGUCUCAUCAGAGACCCCAGAAGGGGCCCUGAGGCUAUGGAGUAUAUCCUCAGAACAGGAAGUAUCUGCGAGUGGAGGGCAGGAUGGGUUUUUAAGGAAGGACAGCACGUGCAAAGAAAGGCUCAGAGGCUAGGAAGACCCAGCUGUGUGCUGGGGACAGACUCCACAGUGAUAGCAGGGGAGCUGGAUCUGCAAACCAGUGUGACUCAGAUUCACAGGGCCCUGAGUCUACCUGCUCACAGCUAGCCAUGUGAGAGGCAGAGGUCAACUCCCCGGACUCUCUCUCCUUCUGGUGUUCUUUUACAGAGCACAAGUGUUGGUAUUCGCAGAUGGGCCAUGUGAACAGUCAAAGACUGAAGCUCCUUUCCUGUGCUCGUGGCUACCCCACGAGCCUCCACUCAUGGAGGCAUGUAUGUUCAUGGAGAGACACAAAAGAAUUCCUGUGGGGAGACCUGGCAGCAGGCACUCAGGAUCAGUGUGGUGUUAGUGCUGACAGCAUCAAGUUUCUAUUCAGCAAGACUUUAUAAGCCAUUUGCUGUGUACCAGGCCAAGUCCUCUAUUGGGUAUAGGAAGGAUUCACACCCUCAAGUUUACCUAGUUUUCAGUCUCUUCCUGACACGGGCAUGACCGGAAUGUUACUUCUACUUCACAGGGAAGAGAGGUGAGGCUUAGUCUGCGUACAGGAUGUGUGUGCUUGCUCAAGAUUUCUCUGGGAGGUGUGUCAUGGCUGGGAUACCCGGAACUGCCUGACCACAGAGAUAAGGGUCCCUGACGAACGAACUGGGCCAGAUUCCCUUCCUUCCUUCCUUUAUCCACAGCAGGGGAAGCCUUGCUGGCUGCCAAUGUUGAGAAUGGAACAGAAUGGUAGGGCCUUGUCACUCUCCAGAGAGGAAUUCCUCCUCCUGUGCAGCCAAGGUAGGACUGAUGCUAAGCUCUGAGAAGCUCUGGAUCCUCAAUUACCCCAGCUGAUGCCUCCAGAGGACUGUGUUAAAGACAAACCACUCGGGAGGCUGCGUUAGUGAUGGAUGUGGUGUGGGCACCGAUCAUAGGCACAGAGUGAACAGGCUCUGGAGUUAGGACCCU